AGUGAACGCUGGCGGCAGGCCUAACACAUGCAAGUCGAGCGGCAGCGCGUCCGACCACCCUCGGGUGGUCGGAUGGCGGCGAGCGGCGGACGGGUGAGGAAUGCAUCGGAAUCUGCCUCGUUGUGGGGGAUAACGUAGGGAAACUUACGCUAAUACCGCAUACGACCUACGGGUGAAAGUGGGGGACCUUCGGGCCUCACGCGAUGAGAUGAGCCGAUGCCGGAUUAGCUAGUUGGCGGGGUAAAGGCCCACCAAGGCGACGAUCCGUAGCUGGUCUGAGAGGAUGAUCAGCCACACUGGAACUGAGACACGGUCCAGACUCCUACGGGAGGCAGUAGUGGGGAAUAUUGGACAAUGGGGGCAACCCUGAUCCAGCCAUGCCGCGUGUGUGAAGAAGGCCUCGG
rnacentral:rRNA from 1 species